CAGUCGCCGCGGUAACACGAAGGGGGCUAGCGUUGCUCGGAAUUACUGGGCGUAAAGGGAGCGUAGGCGGACAUUUAAGUCAGGGGUGAAAUCCCAGAGCUCAACUCUGGAACUGCCUUUGAUACUGGGUGUCUUGAGUGUGAUAGAGGUAUGUGGAACUCCGAGUGUAGAGGUGAAAUUCGUAGAUAUUCGGAAGAACACCAGUGGCGAAGGCGACAUACUGGAUCAUUACUGACGCUGAGGCUCGAAAGCGUGGGGAGCAAACAGGAUUAGAUACCCGAGUAGUCCCUGUCUCUUAUAC
rnacentral:rRNA from 1 species